ACUCUAAAACAUCUUGGCUUAGAAGGCAGAACUAGGAAGUUAUUUAAUAAAAAAAUUUAGAUUUCUGCUAUUUUUCAGCUGUUCUCGGUAAUUUUGUAAUAAAGAAAUUAUACUCUUUUCUCAAAUGAAUAGGUAGCUAAACUAAGAGGAUUCUUGUGAAUAUGAAUAUCACAACUCUAUCAAACGAUGAUGAACUAACAACGGAGAAAAUACAUACAACAGAGAAGAGCUUGUCAAGUAAUACAAAUUUAAUUAUUGGAGUUUCUGUUGGUUGUGGCUUAGGGGUUAUUUUAAUAGUUUUAGCAGUAAUUAUCUUUAUUAAAUUGAAAGUUUGUAGGAAAAGCGAAAGUGAAACUCAACGACCUCCAGGAAUAUUAGACAUUACACCUGCAAAUGCUUCAGCAACUGAAAAUAACAAAACUAUUAAUCGUAAUGAUUUUAAAAAUACUGAGCAUAGUAGUGAAGAAUCUGAAUUCUCUGAUGAGGAUGACUAUGAAAAUAAGUCAGCUAUUGAACAUUUUCACUCUUCCCUUAGUAAUCUACAACCUAAAAACAAUUGUCAAACUAUACCGCCACCAGUUCCGCCAAAAGAUUAUGUUAAAGAAUAGACCUUUCACUGUCUACAAAACUUUUUCUGUGGUGUCAUUUUCUAGUGUCAUUAACCUGAGCGUUUGUGAAGUGAAAUAUUAAGAAAAACAAACAAUAUAACUAAACUAUUAAAAUAGUUUUCUUGAUAAUUUAUAGACGAUUUACAAUAUUCUUUCAUUUUAGAAAUAAGUUUCGGUAAGUAUUAAAACUUAACUACACAGACAAGCCUACGACUGCUAAUGUUACAAUUGUCAAGGAAAAGUGGUACCCUGUUUAUACUAUUUCUGAAUGAAACUUGGGCCUCCAUUAUCAUAUAUCUGCUGUUUAGACUCUUAGUAUAAAAUUUUUGUUAGUAGCUUUUUCAUUAUCUGUAUAAUAGGAUUAUUCUUUAUAAAGUUACACAUGAAAAAACUUCUUUCCAGGAGAUAAGAUACAAAAUCAAUUGUCCUAUCAAUUUUUGCUCGUUAAGUUUCAUCAACAAUCUGCAAAGCAGAGUGGAUAAUUGAAUAUCAAUUCAUUAGUCAUUAACAAUACAAUGAUCAAUAAUUAAUAAAGAUUUUAAAAUAUCAAAUCUUCAAAAAACUUUGCUUUCAUUUAUUUUCUGAAAUUUUCAAAGCAUAUUUGAGAGUACUCCAGUAUCAAUUGCAGUAGAAAUUUUACCAGAACUAAUACAAUUGCUCAUAUGUCAUUUUUGACGAGAGGUAGCUUUAUAGGACUGUUUACUUUAGCCAUGCCCAUAGUUAAGAAAUAUGAACAUUGAGGUUACAUAUUUAUCAUAUCAAAUCUUGAUGACUCAGACUAUUGCAUAUAUAGUAAUAAAGCUUAUAGACAAUCAAGACGGUAUUUUAAGAUUAUAAUUAAUAAUUAUUAUUACUAUCAAGUUAAUAUGCCAGCUCUUGCAGGAGGCAGAUUGUUCUGGUGAGUUUGUUCAAUUAUUCAACUACUACAACAUAACAUUGUUCUUCUAGACACGUCUAAAGAAUGCUAGAAAAUAGAGAAAAUUCUCAAACGAAGGGAAUUGGGAAGGGGAACAUUAUCUUGAUUACAAGAAACAGUUGCUUUUAAGAUUAUUUAGUAUGCAUGCAAUAUUUAUAUAUUCAAAUGUACAUUUUUCUAUUUAAUACAAUAUAUCGUAGUAGUAUUUGAUAAAAUAGCUAUUGCUAAUGAUUUUUCAAUUCAUCCUUAUCUACU
rnacentral:misc_RNA from 1 species